ACAGAUGGUUUAUCAUACCACCAUCUGCCAGAGAAUUACAAGUGAAAAACUUAAAACUCUAAGGACUUGACGGUGCCCCACACCAGCCUAGAGGAGCCUGUCCUAUAAUCGAUACCCCACGCUCCACCUCACCCCCCCUUGCCAAACCCCGCCUAUAUACCGCCGUCGUCAGCCCACCUACUGAUAGCAACAAAAGUCAGCAUAAUAGCACCCCGCUAGCACGUCAGGUCAAGGUGUAGCUCAUGGGGGGGACUAAGAUGGGCUACAUUUGCUAACCUAUAGCAAACCCACUGAGAGCCCCAUGAAACAAAGGGCCAGAAGGCGGAUUUAGCAGUAAACACCGGCAAGACAUGCCCACUUGAACACCGCUCUGGGGCGCGUACACACCG
rnacentral:rRNA from 1 species